GACGAACUGUGCAAACGUUAUUCGGAAUCACUGGGCUUAAAGGGUGCGUAGGCGGUCUUGUAAGUAGGGUGUGAAAGCCCCCCGGCUCAACCGGGGAACUGCGUCCUAAACUGCGAGGCUUGAGUGAGGUAGGGGUGUGUGGAACUUCCAGUGGAGCGGUGAAAUGUGUUGAUAUUGGAAGGAACGCCGGUGGCGAAAGCGACACACUGGACCUUGUCUGACGCUGAGGCACGAAAGCCAGGGAGCAAACGGG
rnacentral:rRNA from 1 species